rnacentral:rRNA from 1 species
GGAAUAUUGGACAAUGGGCGAAAGCCUGAUCCAGCCAUGCCGCGUGAAGGAUUAAGGUCCUCUGGAUUGUAAACUUCUUUUAUUUGGGACGAAAAAAGGGAAUUCUUUCCCACUUGACGGUACCAAGUGAAUAAGCACCGGCUAACUCCGUGCCAGCAGCCGCGGUAAUACGGAGGGUGCAAGCGUUAUCCGGAUUCACUGGGUUUAAAGGGUGCGUAGGCGGGUAUGUAAGUCAGUGGUGAAAUCUCGGAGCUUAACUCCGAAACUGCCAUUGAUACUAUAUAUCUUGAAUAUUGUGGAGGUUUGCGGAAUAUGUCAUGUAGCGGUGAAAUGCUUAGAUAUGACAUAGAACACCUAUUGCGAAGGCAGCAGGCUACACAUAUAUUGACGCUGAGGCACGAAAGCGUGGGGAUCAAACA